rnacentral:rRNA from 1 species
CCUACGGGAGGCAGCAGUAGGGAAUAUUGCUCAAUGGGGGAAACCCUGAAGCAGCAACGCCGCGUGGAGGAUGAAGGUUUUCGGAUUGUAAACUCCUUUUGUUAGAGAAGAUAAUGACGGUAUCUAACGAAUCAGCACCGGCUAACUCCGUGCCAGCAGCCGCGGUAAUACGGAGGGUGCAAGCGUUACUCGGAAUCACUGGGCGUAAAGAGCGCGUAGGCGGGAUAGCAAGUCAGAUGUGAAAUCCUAUGGCUUAACCAUAGAACUGCAUUUGAAACUGUUAUUCUAGAGUAUGGGAGAGGUAGGUGGAAUGCGUGGUGUAGGGGUAAAAUGCGUAGAGAUCAAGAGGAAGACUCAUUGCGAAGGCGACCUGCUAGAACAUAACUGACGCUGAUGCGCGAAAGCGUGGGGAGCAAACAGGAUUAGAUACCCCAGUAGUC